rnacentral:lncRNA from 1 species
GCAUACAUUCAUUGAAGUCACCCGGACAACACACAGAACAACAUACGUUUAAAUAAAGAACAAGCUCAAAACAAGCAUCCGAACCAUAAAUAAUGCACUGCAUAGCCCCCUCAGCAUUUGUAGUGGUGGUUUUGCUACAGCUUCGCUG